rnacentral:rRNA from 1 species
UGCGGUUAUACAAAAAUUAAAUUAAUUUCUUUUAGGAUUUAAUAAAUAAAAAUUUAUUUAAAAUAAUUUAAAUUUUAAAUUAUAAAGUGAAAUUUUAAUUUAAUUAAAAUUUAUUUAUUUUUAUGACAUUAAUAAAUUUUAUAAAAAACUAGGAUUAGAUACCCUAUUAUAAAAAUUUAAAAUUAAUAAUCUUAAAAUAGUAUAUAAUUUUUUUUAUAGAAACUUAAAUAAUUUGGCGGUAUUUUAGUUCAUUUAGAGGAAUCUGUCUAAUAAUUGAUAAUCCACGAUUAAAUUUACUUAAUUUUUAAUUUUGUAUAUCGUUGUUAAAAAAAUAUUUUUUAAUAAAAAUAAUAUUUUAAAAUUUAAAUAAAAAAUUAAAUCAGAUCAAGAUGCAGAUUAUAAUUAAGAAUAUGAUGGAUUACAAUAAAUUUUAUUUUAUUUGGAUAUUAAUUUGAAAUAAAUUAAUUGAAAUUGGAUUUAAAUGUAAUUUUAUUAAUUUUAUUAAAAUGAUUUUAAAUUAAAAUAUGUACAUAUUGCCCGUCGCUUUCAUUUAUAAAUUGAAAUAAGUCGUAACAAAGUAGAGGUACUGGAAAGUGUUUCUAGAAAGAU